UUGAAAGCGCGGGUCAAAAUCUAGUCUAAACUAUUAAAACAGGAUCGUAGGAGUAUAAAUAAAAUCUGACCCAAAGUUUUACUCAAUAAUUAUAAUUAAAUGUCACUGGUCUUAUUUUCAUUUAAUAACAGUAAGUAAUCAGCAUUAAAGCAUAAAUUAAUUCAGAUAUUCAAUAAAAUCUCGAGACUCCUUAAACUAAUCAUGGAAUAUUACUUUCAUAUAUACAUUAAUUUUCAUUGCUUGGAUUUAUAAUUUUAUCUGGACCUCUAUCAAAAUGCAAAAUAUACAAAAAUUCCAAGAAAGUAAACCACAUUAUUCAUAUGCUAUUAUAUUGUCAUCAAAUAUCUCUAAUCUUAACUACAAAUAUUAUACACUAUUAAAAUAAAAAAGAACGGUUUUUAAUUAUUUAAGAGAUACUUAUAUAUUUUUAUUUAAACGUGUAAAUCACGCUUGGUUAAUAUUUUGUUAAUUUUUCUUUUUAACCUACAGAGUCAGACUAACAAAGCACAUUAGAUUCAUAUAGCUUCAAAGCAAAUUAGAUUCAUCAAACAACCUAAAUAUGUCUGCAAAAACAAUUUUUGCUUUUUUAAAAAAUGCCGAACCUUUUAAAAUCAGACGGUAAAUUCAAAUAAAAAUGAUUUAUUUGUGUAAAUAGUUAUUCUAUCGUUUCAAUGCUAAACCAACAAGAUAAUAUGUAUAUAUAUAUAUAUAUAUAUAUAUAUAAAAUUUAAAAAUUAACAUUUCAAAACAAUUUAUAAAAUUUCUGCACAUAAACUUUAAAACAAUGUUAAACAUCGAGAAAAUAUUGGUAAGAAUUAAAAAUAGUUACCAAAAAUUAUGUUUGAUAAAUUUUGAAAAACGUAAAAUUAAAAAACAUGUGUGCAUGUGCACGGGUCAAUAUCUAGUUUUCUUUAUAAAGUGAGACAAAAGUUUUCAAUUAUGUUAAAUAUUUUCGAUUCAGAAGACUUUUAGGGAAGUCUUCUAAUAGAAGACUUUCGUAAAAUCUUUUAAUCCCUAAAUUUACUAUUCUCCCAAAAGAUAGGAAAGUCUUCUAGUGAAUUAUUCAUAAGAAGACUUAACUAACCUAAACCCUAAAAUCAAAUAACUAACUAAACAUAAAUUAACACUUCACUAAGCUUAAAAUUAACUUUUAAAGUAUCUAAUAUACAAAAAACUAAACACAUAUAUGUCAAAUUUAGUUUAAAAAAAAAGAAGUUAAGAUUCCAAAAUCUAACUCUAAAAUACAAACAAUACUAUGACAUAUGCUACCAAACCCUAAACCAUAGAAUAUCAUGAUUCAAUCUACAUUCACUCACCUAUGUUGAAAACAAUUCAAUUUUACUAUAUCUUAAUUUCUAUCAUUUCCAAAAUGUUUAUAAUUACAUGAAUUCAAUUUUUUCCCUAGAACAAUAUUUUUUAUAAAAUUCAUAAAUUAUUUUUAAGAUCAACUAUAUGAGAAGAUUUUCUGGAAGUUUUUCAGAAGACUUACAGAACUGAGCAUAGUAGAAGUCUUAAAAUUAUUUUUAUAUGUACUUCUAUUUUAAUAAGAUAGAUGUAAUAAAAAUAGUGUAACACAUUUGAUUGUAUCAAUGGGCAAGCCUGAGCAUUUUAUUUGAUACCCAAAUCCGAACCCAAAACAAAAAUACUCCAACCGAAACUGAACCGUGAUAUAAAAAUACAUGAAUGGCUUUUAAUAUGAGUAUGUCCGGAUAACCGAACCCGAUGGAUUAUAUCCGAUACCCGAAACGUUACCCGAAAUAUCCAAACAUAUAUUGAGAGAGAGAAAUCUUAAAAGGUUGAAAAGCUUCUAACUUUCUUUUUCUUCUUAAUCUGAUUUCGAGGGUGAUAUCGAACCAUGUGUUUAUUUGUGUGAAAUGAAUAUAUCUAUAUAUAUAAAGUAGAGUUCUCUCUCUCCAGGGCCCUCCACGUCAGAUUCCACCUAAGAAAUUCAGGUCUUCUGGUGUCAACACGUGUCUUCCUACAAUUCAUUUUCUGCUCCACACACUUCGGGUGAUUUCGCCAUUAACUUCAACCAUUAUUUCUUUCUUAAAAACAUAGAACUGAGAAAAUCACAGAGCACUCUUAGACUUCCCUUAUUAUUAAUGUAUUCAUUAGAUUCUUCAAGUUUCCUUUACAGCUUCUCCAAUUCGUUUUUUUUGCUUCUGGAUUUUCGAUUUUAUAAGAAUUCUUCAAUCCUCCGAUUUCUUUUGAAGCGCCUGAGACGAAGAAACUGGUGACAAAUUCAAAAAUUCCUGUGUUAACACGUGUUCUUUUUAUUGAACGCUCUGUUUUAUUAAUCGAAGUGUGCAUAAGAUGUGGGCCUGCGUUUUGUAUGUCUUGCUCGACAGCCUCUCAACCAUCAGAUUUUUCCACUUUUUGUUUUUCGCCAUUACACGGAUUGAAUCGCCGACUAACAACUAUAGUUCUCCCAACCAUCAAUGAAGAUCGAGUGUUUCAUGGGCUACGAUUGAUUCAAUACAAGAUCAGAUAGAAUCCGUUGUCACUGUUUUGUCGAUUCGAGUUCUUCAACCCGGGAAGGAAUUCCGGCGCCGUUACGGUACUCGACUCGAUUCAUGCAUUGUCAACAUUAGCAACAUUAGUUCAAUUGUGUGAAGCUGUAACUAGAAUGUCAAACUCCAGUCUGCUACUCGGUGAUUUGAAGGCCGCCGGCGUUGACGUUCGUCUCCUGAGAUUAUGUAGGCUCACUGAUGUAAAGAAAGCCGGCGAGGAGAAAACACAUUAUCAGCUUCGAGUUUUUUGUAGAGUUUAUACUUUCCGAUUUCAUAGGAAAGCCCUCUACUUUGGUUUCUCUCACUUUCACUUCAUCAGUCUGAAACUCUAGAAGACAUACCUAAGUGAAAGCAAGACAAAUCAGAGGGGACACAAGACGACUAUUGUUAAUGGCAUCAGAGAGACUGUCAAAGAAUAUAACUCUGUCCAUGUUUUCUCUUUUAAAAACAUGAAAACUAUCAAAUUCAAGGAGUUCAUACAACAGUUUAGACACCAUGGAAGUUCUACUUCUGAUGAAGUCCAUCAUGCCAUCUUUAAAGCCUCCAAGCUGCUUCAUGGUGAUGAUGAACUGCUUAUGCCAAAGGAAGAGGUUGAAAGCUUAUUUGACGCUUAUGAAGAUUCUGACUUUAGAAGGAGUGGCAGUAUAAAUGGUUGAACUGAAGGGAGGUCUUCUAGAGCGGUUCACACAUGAGAUGGAACCGUUUCUAAGGAAGCAAGGUACAACCUGAUAUUGAUUGUUAUAGCCAGAUGUAUCCCAACCAAAAAUACGUUUGCGACCACGGUUAGCAAUAUUGAUCAAGACCUUGCUCAAGAAAAAUGUGUACUAAGAGCAAGAUGAUAUAAUUUAUAUAUAUAUUUAAAGUAAUGUUAUUAAGAACAUAUGAUUUUUAAGUGAAAACAUAGGUCUGAGAUGAAUUAUGAAACAUGAUUAGCAGGAAAGUUGGAAACGGAGACAGUUCCUGAUAAGGCAUGCAAUGGCACCUCGAUAUUAGACAGUUCGGAGGAAUCGAAGAUGGGUUUGGAUGUGAGAAUGUGUAAUGGUAAUGGACUAUUAUCACAAUAUAUCAGAAUAUUCAACGAUUUUACAAAACUAUUGGUAAGUCUUUUAAAUAUAAACUGAAUAUCUUACAUAUAUUUUUAAUUCUGUUGUUUUAUUUUCAUCAUUUCAAAUCUACGUACAUUAUAUUUUAAAUUAUUUUUUUUGUAGAGAAAUACAAACAAAACUUUAGUGGAUCAAAUAUAAUAUUUCUGUGUGUUCCUAUUUAUCUCAACUUUUUAUGAAAAAUGCUUCCAAAUAUGUAUAUCCUCUUUUUAAAAGAUCACAAUAGUUGUUUUGAUGCUUCCAAUUUCUUUGUUUGGUCGCAGCAAUUUCUAAUUUUAGAUGCGUGUGUUAUCCAACUUAUGAGUGAAACAAUUUUAAUCGAAUAAAAUCUGUUUCAUAAUAAAAACAUUGAAAUUUAGGAGAAAAGAGAGAAUUUAUGCAAACAAAAAUUGAUCCGUGCAGAGCACGGGGUAAUAUACUAGUAUAUUUAUAAAUUACAUAAAAUAAUAAACAAAAGUGUAUAUUUGAAUUGAUAUAAUGAUUUUAUAUUCGUACAGAAAGAAUUAUAUUUGUAUAUAAAGUAUCAUAAUAACUAUUAAUGUCUAAUAAUUCAAUGCAUGCUUUAUAAAUCAUUUAUAAAAUUAUAAAUACAUUUAUAAAAAUCAGAAGUUUUAAAUUAUUAUAAGAGGUUCUAAGUCAUUUAUAGAAGCUUAUACAUUAAUUUAUAAAAUGUAUUUUGAAAAUUUAUCCCUUAUAUACUAAAGCACAAGUCACUUUACCAAUCAGAUUUUGACACAUGGAUUUAUAUUUUAAAAAUUAAAAAUAUAUGUAAAACAAUAAAAUCAUUAUUGAAAAAAAUAAAUGGCAAGCACGAUCUCCACAACUAAAUUAUGUGUUUGUUUCCUAAAUUUACUGUAAAAAGUACUUGCUCAUCCAUUUCUCUCCAACAACUCCACGAUCACCAAUUAUCAAUCUCCAGAUUCCAGUUAUUCAUCCAUCAUUUAUAUUUGCCAUCUUAUUGAUCCACACGCAAAAAGAAAGAAAAAACACACUUUCUCGACUACUCAAAUUCACAAAUAUUGUGUUUAUAUUCAACGUUUUAUCUUCCACGCAAACAUAUUUUUUUUCUUACUCAGUCUCUCAUGAUCUCACUCUUUUAUAUGUAGUGUCUGUAUAUUAAGCCUCGCUCUCUCACAUGCAAGGUUUCCCUUAGAAGAACUCAGCCUCAGGUUAUCUCUUUUUCCAAAUAUGAAAAAUCUGAAAUAUACUUACAAAAUGAAAUAUAUAAAGAUUUUUCUGUAAGGUACAUUUCUGGAACGAACAAAAACAGAAACGAGAAAGAAGAAGACUGAAGACAAACUUGGCAUUAACAAGAAAACGAUUUAGGCCAACAGAUAAUCAAGCAAAACAAAAAUCUCAAACUACAAAGAAAAAAACAAAGGAGCGCUCUUUACAACAAACAGAGUGUAAGAGCAGAACGUACAUAAUCUAAAAACAAGUGGUAUCAUUAGUUCUUCUCUUAUUGUUUCUCUUUUAUGUUACUCUUCAAAACUUUGCUUUGUUUUUGUAACUGUUGCAAGUUUGCAGAAAUACCUAACACUAUACCCGAAAAAUGAUGUGAUGCAUCUUUCAUAAGAUGUGGAGAGACAACAAAAACCUAACACCCUACCAAGAGAAAGAGUAUCAACAACUUAGUUGAUGCAAAUAGACUAUUAUCACAAUAUAUCAGAAUAUUCAACGAUUUUACAAAACUAUUGGUAAGUCUUUUAAAUAUAAACUGAAUAUCUUACAUAUAUUUUUAAUUCUGUUGUUUUAUUUUCAUCAUUUCAAAUCUACGUACAUUAUAUUUUAAAUUAUUUUUUUUGUAGAGAAAUACAGACAAAACUUUAGUGGAUCAAAUAUAAUAUUUCUAUGUGUUCCUAUUUAUCUCAACUUUUUAUGAAAAAUGCUUCCAAAUAUGUAUAUCCUCUUUUUAAAAGAUCACAAUAGUUGUUUUGAUGCUUCCAAUUUCUUUGUUUGGUCGCAGCAAUUUCUAAUUUUAGAUGCGUGUGUUAUCCAGCUUAUGAGUGAAACAAUUUUAAUCGAAUAAAAUCUGUUUCAUAAAAAAAACAUUGAAAUUUAGGAGAAAAGAGAGAAUUUAUGCAAACAAAAAUUGAUCCGUGCAGAGCACGGGGUAAUAUACUAGUAUAUUUAUAAAUUACAUAAAAUAAUAAACAAAAGUGUUUAUUUGAAUUGAUAUAAUGAUUUUAUAUUCGUACAGAAAGAAUUAUAUUUGUAUAUAAAGUA